rnacentral:rRNA from 1 species
GAUGAACGCUGGCGGCGUGCCUAAUACAUGCAAGUCGAGCGAACAGACGAGGAGCUUGCUCCUCUGACGUUAGCGGCGGACGGGUGAGUAACACGUGGAUAACCUACCUAUAAGACUGGGAUAACUUCGGGAAACCGGAGCUAAUACCGGAUAAUAUAUUGAACCGCAUGGUUCAAUAGUGAAAGACGGUUUUGCUGUCACUUAUAGAUGGAUCCGCGCCGCAUUAGCUAGUUGGUAAGGUAACGGCUUACCAAGGCAACGAUGCGUAGCCGACCUGAGAGGGUGAUCGGCCACACUGGAACUUAGACACGGUCCAGACUCCUACGGGAGGCAGCAGGAGGGAAUCUUCCGGAAUGGGCGAAAGCCUGACGGAGCAACGCCGCGUGAGUGAUGAAGGUCUUCGGAUCGGAAAACUCUGUUAUUAGGGAAGAACAAAUGUGUAAGUAACUAUGCACGUCUUUACGGUACCUAAUCAGAAAGCCACGGCUAACUACGUG